rnacentral:rRNA from 1 species
CAGUAGCCGCGGUAAUACGUAGGUCCCGAGCGAUGUCCGGAUUUAUUGGGCGUAAAGCGAGCGCAGGCGGUUAGAUAAGUCUGAAGUUAAAGGCUGUGGCUUAACCAUAGUACGCUUUGGAAACUGUUUGACUUGAGUGCAGAAGGGGAGAGUGGAACUCCAUGUGUAGCGGUGAAAUGCGUAGAUAUGUGGAGGAACACCGGUGGCGAAAGCGGCUCUCUGGUCUGUAACUGACGCUGAGGCUCGAAAGCGUGGGGAGCAAACAGGAUUAGAUACCCCCGUAGUCCCUGUCUCUUAUACC